AACGUUCCGGCCCGCGGCACGUCCCGACCUCUCCGGGGGGGAGGACCGUGCCCGCGUCUACCUCUCACCACAUGUGAAACUUCUACAUUUGCUUCGGCAGCACCGAGCGGGAGACCGUAAGGGUAAGGCUGUCGGAAGCUCAUAACAAAACCAGUUGAUGAAAUGUCAUGCUGUCUGAUACAUACUCUUUAUUUGAGAAAUCAAGUAAUAUCAUUA
rnacentral:misc_RNA from 1 species